rnacentral:rRNA from 1 species
GAGUUUGAUCAUGGCUCAGAAUGAACGCUGGCGGCGUGCUUUACACAUGCAAGUCGAGCGAGGCGGGUAGCAAUACCCAGUCGAGCGGCGAACGGGUGAGUAACGCGUGGAUUAUCUACCCUGAGGUGGGGGAUAACCCGGCGAAAGCCGGGCUAAUACCGCAUAACAUCGAAAGAUCAAAGGGGGAGCAAUCUCCCGCCAUUGGAGGAGUCCGCGUCCGAUUAGCUAGUUGGUAGGGUAAUGGCCUACCAAGGCGACGAUCGGUAGCCGGCCUGAGAGGGUGAUCGGCCACACUGGAACUGAGACACGGUCCAGACUCCUACGGGAGGCAGCAGUGGGGAAUUUUGCGCAAUGGGCGAAAGCCUGACGCAGCAACGCCGCGUGGAGGAUGACGGUCCUUGGAUCGUAAACUCCUGUCAGCAGGGAAAAAGGGGACCGGGCUCAUACCCCGGUUCAUUGAUUGUACCUGCAGAGGAAGCCCCGGCUAACUCUGUGCCAGCAGCCGCGGUAAUACAGAGGGGGCAAGCGUUAUUCGGAAUUAUUGGGCGUAAAGGGCGCGUAGGCGGCUCGACAAGUGGAAGGUGAAAUCCCUCGGCUUAACCGAGGAACUGCCCUCCAAACUGUUUUGCUUGAGGCCGGGAGAGGUGAGUGGAAUUCCCAGUGUAGCGGUGAAAUGCGUAGAUAUUGGGAGGAACACCAGUGGCGAAGGCGGCUCACUGGACCGGUUCUGACGCUGAGGCGCGAAAGCGUGGGGAGCAAACGGGAUUAGAUACCCCGGUAGUCCACGCCGUAAACGAUGAAUGCUUGGUGUAGCGGGUAUCGA